rnacentral:rRNA from 1 species
AGAACGCUAGCCGGCAGGUAUGAAUACAUGCAGUCGUGGGGCAGCAUGAAUGUAGCAAUACAUUUGAUGGCGACCGGCAAACGGGUGCGGAACACGUACACAACCUUCCUAUAAGUGGGGAAUAGCCCAGAGAAAUUUGGAUUAAUACCCCGUAACAUAACGAUGUGGCAUCACAUUGUUAUUAUAGCUUCGGCGCUUAUUGAUGGGUGUGCGGCUGAUUAGAUAGUUGGCGGGGUAACGGCCCACCAAGUCUACGAUCAGUAGCUGAUGUGAGAGCAUGAUCAGCCACACGGGCACUGAGACACGGGCCCGACUCCUACGGGAGGCAGCAGUAAGGAAUAUUGGUCAAUGGACGCAAGUCUGAACCAGCCAUGCCGCGUGAAGGAUUAAGGUCCUCUGGAUUGUAAACUUCUUUUAUCUGGGACGAAAAAAGGCGAUUCUUCGUCACUUGACGGUACCAGAUGAAUAAGCACCGGCUAACUCCGUGCCAGCAGCCGCGGUAAUACGGAGGGUGCAAGCGUUAUCCGGAUUCACUGGGUUUAAAGGGUGCGUAGGCGGGCAGGUAAGUCAGUGGUGAAAUCCUGGAGCUUAACUCCAGAACUGCCAUUGAUACUAUCUGUCUUGAAUAUUGUGGAGGUAAGCGGAAUAUGUCAUGUAGCGGUGAAAUGCUUAGAUAUGACAUAGAACACCUAUCGCGAAGGCAGCUUACUACGCAUAUAUUGACGCUGAGGCACGAAAGCGUGGGGAUCAAACAGGAUUAGAUACCCUGGUAGUCCACGCCCUAAACGAUGGAUAC